ACGAACGCUGGCGGCGUGCUUAACACAUGCAAGUCGAACGGUGAAGCGCUUGCCUUUUUGGUGGGUGUGGAUGAGUGGCGAACGGGUGAGUAACACGUGAGUAACCUGCCCUCUUCUUCUGGAUAACCUCAUGAAAGUGGGGCUAAUACGGGGUAUUCCGGGUCUGUCGCAUGGCGGGUUUGGGAAAGAUUGCGCCUUUGGGUGUUUUCGGUGGGGGAUGGGCUCGCGGCCUAUCAGCUUGUUGGUGGGGUGAUGGCCUACCAAGGCGGUGACGGGUAGCCGGCCUGAGAGGGUGGACGGCCACACUGGGACUGAGACACGGCCCAGACUCCUGCGGGAGGCAGCUGUGGGGAAUAUUGCACAAUGGGCGCAAGCCUGAUGCAGCGACGCCGCGUGAGGGAUGGAGGCCUUCGGGUUGGGAACCUCUUUCGCCAGUGAAGCAGGCCUGCUCCUGUGUGGGUGGGUUGACGGUAGCUGGAUAAGAAGCGCCGGCUAACUACGUG
rnacentral:rRNA from 1 species